UACGGAGGGUGCGAGCGUUGUCCGGAAUCACUGGGCGUAAAGGGCGCGUAGGCGGCGCGGGCAGUCAACGGUGAAAGCUCGGGGCUCAACCCCGAGUCGGCCGUCGAUACUCCCGUGCUUGAGCACUGUAGAGGCAGGUGGAAUUCCGGGUGUAGCGGUGGAAUGCGUAGAGAUCCGGAAGAACACCGGUGGCGAAGGCGGGUCUCUGGGCCGAUACUGACGCUGAGGAGCGAAAGCGUGGGGAGCGAACAGGA
rnacentral:rRNA from 1 species